rnacentral:misc_RNA from 1 species
GCAAACUUGGUCAUUUAGAGGAAGUAAAAGUCGUAACAAGGUCUCCGUUGGUGAACCAGCGGAGGGAUCAUUACAGGGUCUAACGACUGCCCAAAACCAACCGUGCUCCUUUUCCUUUUUUCUUGCUUCGGUGAUCGCCUGCUGGGGAGGCCACCGGCCGGGCGUCAUGCCUGGUGGUUGCCGAAGCAUACCACUAUAAACUUUUACUUUGCAACGUAUCUUCUGAGAACUUUCUACAAAAGAACAAUCACAACUCACAACAAUGGAUCUCUUGGCUCUGGCAUCGAUGAAGAACGCAGC